rnacentral:rRNA from 1 species
AGAAUCAACGCUGGCGGCGUGCCUAACACAUGCAAGUCGCACGAGAAAGGGUAGCAAUGCCUGAGUACAGUGGCGCACGGGUGAGUAACACGUGAAUAAUCUACCUCCGAGUGGGGAAUAACCUAGGGAAACCUGGGCUAAUACCGCAUAACACUUACGAGUCAAAGCAGCAAUGCGCUUGGAGAGGAGUUCGCGGCAGAUUAGCUAGUUGGUGGGUAAUGGCCCACCAAGGCGAUGAUCUGUA